GACGAGCGCUGGCGGCGUGCCUAAUACAUGCAAGUUGAGCGCUGAAGGUUGGUACUUGUACCAACUGGAUGAGCAGCGAACGGGUGAGUAACGCGUGGGGAAUCUGCCUUUGAGCGGGGGACAACAUUUGGAAACGAAUGCUAAUACCGCAUAAAAACUUUAAACACAAGUUUUAAGUUUGAAAGAUGCAAUUGCAUCACUCAAAGAUGAUCCCGCGUUGUAUUAGCUAGUUGGUGAGGUAAAGGCUCACCAAGGCGAUGAUACAUAGCCGACCUGAGAGGGUGAUCGGCCACAUUGGGACUGAGACACGGCCCAAACUCCUACGGGAGGCAGCAGUAGGGAAUCUUCGGCAAUGGACGAAAGUCUGACCGAGCAACGCCGCGGGAGUGAAGAAGGGUGUCGGAUCGUAAAACUCUGUUGGUAGAGAAGAACGUUGGUGAGAGUGGAAAGCUCAUCAAGUGACGGUAACUACCCAGAAAGGGACGGCUAACUACGUG
rnacentral:rRNA from 1 species